GUGUCAGCCGCCGCGGUAAUACGGAGGGUGCAAGCGUUAUCCGGAUUCAUUGGGUUUAAAGGGUGCGCAGGCGGAUUAUUAAGUUAGUGGUGAAAUCCCGGGGCUCAACCUCGGAACUGCCAUUAAUACUGGUAAUCUGGAAUACGGUUGAAGUGGGCGGAAUGUAGCAUGUAGCGGUGAAAUGCAUAGAGAUGCUACAGAACACCGAUCGCGAAGGCAGCUCACUAAGCCGAUAUUGACGCUCAGGCACGAAAGCGUGGGGAGCGAACAGGAUUAGAUACCCUGGUAGUCCGACGCCGUAAACGAUGAUAACUCGUUGUUGGCGACACACAGUCAGCGACUAAGCGAAAGCGAUAAGUUAUCCACCUGGGGAGUACGAUCGCAAGGUUGAAACUCAAAUGAAUUGACGG
rnacentral:rRNA from 1 species